rnacentral:lncRNA from 11 species
GGCCAAACUAGAAAUUAGUUUUACAUAACAACUUUCAUCCUUUGUGUAUCACAGUCUGCUUUUUGUGUCUGUAACAGGCAAUGUUGUUUCGCACCCCUCUCUACGUUCCCCAUCUCGUUCCUGAAGCCAAGGAUAUAACAAGUAUUGGAUUUUCAGACUUCAGGUGGCAAUUCUUUAUCUUGAUAACAGCUUCUUGUACAGUUUGAGUCCCUGAGAUAUUCACCUUUAGCACAAAAAAAAUCCUUUUUUCCUUUGCCCUGUGUCACUCAAUUUUGUGUGUGUGUGUGGGGGGGGGGGGGGUUGCCAGGAAAGUAGGACAUCCAACUAGAUUCUACCUUACCUUUCAAAGGCCCUGUAGUACAACAACGCCUGGGACACAACGACAAAAACAAGACUAACGUAUUGCUAUGAUGGUAUAACAGCAUUGUGUGUUAUUGCACAAAUUUCCUUGCUGAUGCAUCAUUGAAUAGGAUAAUGCACUUGAGAUCAGAACGGCUUGCAUUUUGCCAGAGUUUUCCUUCCUUUAACACUAACACAGAGCUUAAAAGCAAGCCAAAUUCCUUCCCCUUUCCAUUGAUCCACCUGGCUCUGUGCCUGGAGUAAGAGCAAGUUCUGCUCGCUGACUCAUGCUUGUUUUGUCUUAGCUACUCUUUGGAAAGGCUCAGAUUGCUUGUGUCAGAACCAUGGAAGCAUUUCCCACCAUAUCUGAAAAUCACAGAUAUGUCCUGCGUUAGUGGAAGUGGAGUGUAAAAAAGAACAAGGAGGAACCAUACUCAGAGGUGGAUUGGCAGGCAGGACACUGACACUCACAGGAGCCAGAGGUGGUGAGCCAGUUCAGCAAUAUUCAUCUUUGGCUUGUUUUUUCACUGAUCUUCAGUGCCAAAUGUUGGGGAGGUGUCUGUAUGGAUGCAGAAAGAUUUACGAGAAUCAGAAACAGAAGAAAUUGGAAGAUUCUGUGUUAGAAUCCAAGAGGAAAUUGACCACCUACCAAGGUAGGCCAUGUUGAUUAUUGUAGAUUGUAGAACAAUUUGAUCUACAAUCAAGAAAUGAAGCAGAAGAUUGACUGACUAAAUGCUGCAUGUCCAACAAUUCGUUCAUUAUAAACAUUUUCUUCAGGUAAGCCAAGAGAUAUCUGAGUAUAUGGACAUCACCUGAUAGCCAACAUAGAAAUCAAAUAGACUACAUAAUCAGAAGCAAAAAAAAAUGAAGCCUUUGCAAAAACAGGAUUACAUUGUAGCACAGACCAUGAAGUUCUAAUAUCAACAAUGAGAGUAAAGCUAAAGAAGAAUAAAUUAUCA